GGCCGCCACGGUCGGUCUGUAGAUUAAGACUUAACGCCGUAAUGAGUGGUGGCCCUCCCCCCUCCUUAACUCAGCCGCUGUAGGAGGUCCAUGAAUAUUUAAAUCAGAGGAAGUCGGCAUGAAUAACCAAAUCCUCGCCAGAGUCAGAGUGUAAAGUCAGAGCGUGUUCGGGGCGUGUGUGUGUGUGUGUGUGUGUGUGUGUGUGUGUUUGUGUGUGUGCGUGUGUGUGUUAUUGUGGGAGCAGGAGCAUGCUGGGACAUUUCCCAACGACCAUCACUCAUUUUCUGCACGUCUGAUACUUUUCUGUCUGCAUGACGAGGACCCCCACCGCAGGUCGUUAUCUUUCCCUCGUUAGUGCACAACACACACACACACACACACACACACACACACACACACACACACACACACACACACACAUGGCUCAUGUCCCACAGUUCUUUUUGGAUCAUUUAUUUUGUAAAUAAGCCUGGCAGGUAACAGCAGCCCCAAGGGUCGGGGGGGCAGCUGUGUGUGUGUGUUCAUGUGUGUGUGUGUGUGUGUGUGUGUGUUCAUGUGUGUGUGUGUGUGUGUGUGUUCAUGUGUGUGUGUGUGUAGCAGAGAGAAAGAGUCAUAAUUGACAACAACAGCAGACUAGAUGAGUGAGGACCUGACAACAAUAGGAGUUGAAAUGGGGGUCAUGUAUGUUUCCUGUCUAUCUGUGAGUGAGUGUGUGUGUGUGUGUGUGUGUGUGUGUGUGUGUGUGUGUGUGUGUGUGUGUGUGUGUCCUUGAAGCAGGGCAGAUGACUGUGUGAGUGUGUGUGCUGUGGGACAGGUUGCGUAAUUAUUAGAUGAAGGAGGGGGUCUACAUUAGCCAGCUGUCACUCCUUACCCCUCACUAGGACUCGUGUGUGUGUGUGUGUGUGUGUGUGUGUGUGUGUGUGUGUGUGUGUUACAGUCCCAGAUUGAUAAGUUAUGACAUAUCCUGUGACCCCCCCCGCCCGCUCUGUUCAGUUGUGCUGAUUUAUCUUUAGGAGACUUUGGAGCUCAUGUGGUGAUUUCCACUUCAGAGUCAUGUUAUUGUUGUUGUUUAUGUGCAAAAAAAAAAACAUUUAAGUUUUCCUAAAUUUGCUGGAAUAAUUAUAAAUAACAGUGUUGGAAAAAAGCAGAAAAAAUGUUCAUUUAAAUUUAGAAUUUGAUGGUUUGCAAAAAACAAGAUUAAGAUGUAAAAACAGAGAUUUUGUUAAAAUAUUAUAUAAAAUUAUAUAAAUAAAAUUUGUGUUUUAUCAACAGAAAAUAAUAUCAUUAAAAGACAUUAAAGCAGAAAUAUUUGAUAGAUUUAAGUUCAAUAUAAACUCCUCUGAAAAAUGAGAAAAGUCGGAUUCUCAUUUGAGCUCCUGCAGAAACUUCCACUACAGAGUCUAGAGCUGGGCGGGAAACCGAAUAUUUACAGAUGCUGAAAUUUAUGACAAUAACCAACGUCAUUUUGGUCAUGUCGGUGUAUUCAGUGACAAAAAAUAACAAAUAAAAGUUGGUUUUGGACGUGUAAACAUUUUUUUAAAAAGCGACACUCAGCAACCGUUAAUCUAAAAAAAAUAAAAAUAACGUGUUUUGACGAACUUCACCUCAUCAGGAUCAUGUAAAUGGCGACAUAAUGAGAAGUUUUGAAACAGAACAUUUUAAUCAUUAUCGUCUCGCAGCAAAUAACGUCUUUAAGGUUCGGUCAGAAAGUGAAUGAAGAAACAGGAGGAAGAAUAAAACAGGUGAGGAGAUGGAGGACGGUUCAAAAGUUGGAGCGGCUGAAGUAGAUGAAGUUAAUGAGGGAGGGGGUGAGCAGCUGGUGGAGUAGAUAUCGUCCAUUUAUCGUUAUGGAGGUGAACUUAUCAAUAUAUCCUGAUAUUGAUCUGAGGACAUAUCGCCCAGCCCUAACAGAGUCCUGUCUUUUUAUUGUACGAUGAGCCUAAAAUUUCUCCAAUUUCUCUGAUCAUUUUACAAAAUUAUUUCCUGUAGAUAAAACACAACUCUUAUUUCAUCUCAAAGUCUUAUUUUUUUUUCUUAAUAUGGCCCUAAUACUCCGUCGUACUUAUUUAUUAUAAUUAUAUAAUAUUUUAUAAAUUAUUAUUUUUUUAAAUUAACGUAAAUAAAUAAAUAAAAAUAAAGUAAAAUAAAAAUAAUUUAAAUGAGCCCAAAAUGAAAAGCUAAAAAUCUAAAUCUGUUUUUAAAAUGAUUAAAAAAAAAAACUGCAUGAGGACGCAGCUCUGAGAGAAUCAUGUGACCUGGUCCUGGAUGUUGGAGGUUAAUGAACAGAUAUCAGAGGUGAGGGUCCGGUUCCUCCUGGUUCGGCUCAGUUUUCCCAUAAAUGGAGCUGCAGCCUGAUGUUACCAGCUCUGAAGUCCUGCUCAGAUAUUUUUAAACUGACUGUGAGUUUUUUAAAAGUGCACAGCGGAUUUUAAGAGGAUUUCACGAGCUUUACAUCAACCCACGGAGGAGCGUGUAAUCCCUGACUUUGAGUAAAAAAAAGGAAAUGACCAAAGUUGGAGCGCUGAGGUUUUGGCCCGCGUGUUUAAGGGAGAUAUAGAGGAACAAAAGGGGGAGAGCCUGAUCCAUCUGCUGUCAGCCCCCCUCCACACACUCCUGCUGUCACGGGUCAGUGUUCAGUCAGCAGCCGGGACAAAAGAGAAGAUGUUUAGACGAAUGAGAAAGCAGUCGAUACAGCACAAACACACACACACACACACACUGCGUCUCUUUGUAAUGUCAUUAGUGGAGAAGAUGUUUCCUGCUGCUCUGAUCUGAUCCUCCGUCUUUAUCAGGAUGACCUAAUCCUUCGCCUUUGACUCACACACACACACACAGAAAACAGGCGUCCUUUGUCUUAAACUGAAACUUAAAUAUAUUUACAGACUUCCUUUAAAUAUUGGAGUUCAUUUAAACUUCAAACAGACUCAUCAGCUCCAAAGUUAAUUGUGAAUUUUUAAUUUCUAGGUCAACAUUAAUUCAGAUUAAUAUUUGUCUUCUUCCUGUUUGAUGAAUUUAAUGAUGUCUCCUCUUUCUCCCUCCUCCCUCCUCCCCUCCUCUCCUC